rnacentral:rRNA from 2 species
GGGUUGUGAGGUUAAGCGACUAAGCGUACACGGUGGAUGCCCUGGCAGUCAGAGGCGAUGAAGGGCGUGCUAAUCUGCGAUAAGCGCCGGUAAGGUGAUAUGAACCGUUAUAACCGGCGAUACCCGAAUGGGGAAACCCAGUGUGACUCGUCACACUAUCAUUAACUGAAUCCAUAGGUUAAUGAGGCGAACCGG